AUGGAGUACGAGCACCAGUACAUCAGCAGCAGCAGCUUCGCCAAGGAGAAGAGGCCUCCGGCGAAGAGGGGCCAGGUCAUGAUGCAGAUGGCGAGGACGCUGAGCAACCUCGUGUCGCCGAGCGGCGCCGCCGCGGCCGCCGCCGACGGCUCGAAGAAGGUGAGCCGCAACAGCUUCACGAGGGAAACAAGCUAG
rnacentral:rRNA from 1 species